rnacentral:rRNA from 1 species
GACGAACCGUGCGAACGUUGUUCGGAAUCACUGGGCUUAAAGGGCGCGUAGGCGGUCUCCCAAGUCCGGGGUGAAAUCUUUCGGCCUAACCGGAAAAGGGCCUUGGAUACUGGGGGACUCGAGGGGGGUAGGGGCAAGCGGAACUUCCGGUGGAGCGGUGAAAUGCGUUGAUAUCGGAAGGAACAUCAGUGGCGAAAGCGACUUCCUGGACCAGUACCGACGUUCAGGCACGAAAGCGUGGGGAGCAAACAGG